rnacentral:rRNA from 1 species
CAAGUCGAGCGGACAGAUGGGAGCUUGCUCCCUGAUGUUAGCGGCGGACGGGUGAGUAACACGUGGGUAACCUGCCUGUAAGACUGGGAUAACUCCGGGAAACCGGGGCUAAUACCGGAUGCUUGUUUGAACCGCAUGGUUCAGACAUAAAAGGUGGCUUCGGCUACCACUUACAGAUGGACCCGCGGCGCAUUAGCUAGUUGGUGAGGUAACGGCUCACCAAGGCGACGAUGCGUAGCCGACCUGAGAGGGUGAUCGGCCACACUGGGACUGAGACACGGCCCAGACUCCUACGGGAGGCAGCAGUAGGGAAUCUUCCGCAAUGGACGAAAGUCUGACGGAGCAACGCCGCGUGAGUGAUGAAGGUUUUCGGAUCGUAAAGCUCUGUUGUUAGGGAAGAACAAGUGCCGUUCAAAUAGGGCGGCACCUUGACGGUACCUAACCAGAAAGCCACGGCUAACUACGUGCCAGCAGCCGCGGUAAUACGUAGGUGGCAAGCGUUGUCCGGAAUUAUUGGGCGUAAAGGGCUCGCAGGCGGUUUCUUAAGUCUGAUGUGAAAGCCCCCGGCUCAACCGGGGAGGGUCAUUGGAAACUGGGGAACUUGAGUGCAGAAGAGGAGAGUGGAAUUCCACGUGUAGCGGUGAAAUGCGUAGAGAUGUGGAGGAACACCAGUGGCGAAGGCGACUCUCUGGUCUGUAACUGACGCUGAGGAGCGAAAGCGUGGGGAGCGAACAGGAUUAGAUACCCUGGUAGUCCACGCCGUAAACGAUGAGUGCUAAGUGUUAGGGGGUUUCCGCCCCUUAGUGCUGCAGCUAACGCAUUAAGCACUCCGCCUGGGGAGUACGGUCGCAAGACUGAAACUCAAAGGAAUUGACGGGGGCCCGCACAAGCGGUGGAGCAUGUGGUUUAAUUCGAAGCAACGCGAAGAACCUUACCAGGUCUUGACAUCCUCUGACAAUCCUAGAGAUAGGACGUCCCCUUCGGGGGCAGAAUGACAGGUGGUGCAUGGUUGUCGUCAGCUCGUGUCGUGAGAUGUUGGGUUAAGUCCCGCAACGAGCGCAACCUUGAUCUUAGUUGCCAGCAUUCAGUUGGGCACUCUAAGGUGACUGCCGGUGACAAACCGGAGGAAG